GGUUAAGCGACUAAGCGUACACGGUGGAUGCCCUGGCAGUCAGAGGCGAUGAAGGACGUGCUAAUCUGCGAAAAGCGCCGGCGAGGUGAUAUGAACCUUUGACCCGGCGAUGUCCGAAUGGGGAAACCCAGUGUGUUCCGACACACUAUCGUUAACUGAAUACAUAGGUUAACGAGGCGAACCGGGGGAACUGAAACAUCUAAGUACCCCGAGGAAAAGAAAUCAACCGAGAUUCCCCCAGUAGCGGCGAGCGAACGGGGAGCAGCCCAGAGUCUGAAUCAGCUUGUGUGUUAGUGGAAGCGUCUGGAAAGUCGCACGGUACAGGGUGACAGUCCCGUACACGAAAGCACACAGGUUGUGAACUCGAAGAGUAGGGCGGGACACGUGGUAUCCUGUCUGAAUAUGGGGGGACCAUCCUCCAAGGCUAAAUACUCCUGACUGACCGAUAGUGAACCAGUACCGUGAGGGAAAGGCGAAAAGAACCCCGGCGAGGGGAGUGAAAAAGAACCUGAAACCGUGUACGUACAAGCAGUGGGAGCCUCUUUUAUGGGGUGACUGCGUACCUUUUGUAUAAUGGGUCAGCGACUUAUAUUCUGUAGCAAGGUUAACCGUAUAGGGGAGCCGAAGGGAAACCGAGUCUUAACUGGGCGUUAAGUUGCAGGGUAUAGACCCGAAACCCGGUGAUCUAGCCAUGGGCAGGUUGAAGGUUGGGUAACACUAACUGGAGGACCGAACCGACUAAUGUUGAAAAAUUAGCGGAUGACUUGUGGCUGGGGGUGAAAGGCCAAUCAAACCGGGAGAUAGCUGGUUCUCCCCGAAAGCUAUUUAGGUAGCGCCUCGUGAACUCAUCUUCGGGGGUAGAGCACUGUUUCGGCUAGGGGGCCAUCCCGGCUUACCAACCCGAUGCAAACUACGAAUACCGAAGAAUGUUAUCACGGGAGACACACGGCGGGUGCUAACGUCCGUCGUGAAGAGGGAAACAACCCAGACCGCCAGCUAAGGUCCCAAAGUCAUGGUUAAGUGGGAAACGAUGUGGGAAGGCACAGACAGCCAGGAUGUUGGCUUAGAAGCAGCCAUCAUUUAAAGAAAGCGUAAUAGCUCACUGGUCGAGUCGGCCUGCGCGGAAGAUGUAACGGGGCUAAACCAUGCACCGAAGCUGCGGCAGCGACGCUUAUGCGUUGUUGGGUAGGGGAGCGUUCUGUAAGCCGUUGAAGGUGUCCUGUGAGGGGUGCUGGAGGUAUCAGAAGUGCGAAUGCUGACAUAAGUAACGAUAAAGCGGGUGAAAAGCCCGCUCGCCGGAAGACCAAGGGUUCCUGUCCAACGUUAAUCGGGGCAGGGUGAGUCGACCCCUAAGGCGAGGCCGAAAGGCGUAGUCGAUGGGAAACAGGUUAAUAUUCCUGUACUUGGUGUUACUGCGAAGGGGGGACGGAGAAGGCUAUGUUAGCCGGGCGACGGUUGUCCCGGUUUAAGCAUGUAGGCGGAACGAUUAGGUAAAUCCGGUCGUUUAUUAACGCUGAGGUGUGAUGACGAGGCACUACGGUGCUGAAGUAACAAAUGCCCUGCUUCCAGGAAAAGCCUCUAAGCAUCAGGUAACACGAAAUCGUACCCCAAACCGACACAGGUGGUCAGGUAGAGAAUACCAAGGCGCUUGAGAGAACUCGGGUGAAGGAACUAGGCAAAAUGGUGCCGUAACUUCGGGAGAAGGCACGCUGAUAUGUAGGUGAAGCCCCUGCGGGUGGAGCUGAAAUCAGUCGAAGAUACCAGCUGGCUGCAACUGUUUAUUAAAAACACAGCACUGUGCAAACACGAAAGUGGACGUAUACGGUGUGACGCCUGCCCGGUGCCGGAAGGUUAAUUGAUGGGGUUAGCGGUAACGCGAAGCUCUUGAUCGAAGCCCCGGUAAACGGCGGCCGUAACUAUAACGGUCCUAAGGUAGCGAAAUUCCUUGUCGGGUAAGUUCCGACCUGCACGAAUGGCGUAAUGAUGGCCAGGCUGUCUCCACCCGAGACUCAGUGAAAUUGAACUCGCUGUGAAGAUGCAGUGUACCCGCGGCAAGACGGAAAGACCCCGUGAACCUUUACUAUAGCUUGACACUGAACACUGGUCCUUGAUGUGUAGGAUAGGUGGGAGGCUUUGAAGCGUGGACGCCAGUCUGCGUGGAGCCAACCUUGAAAUACCACCCUUUAAUGGCUGGUGUUCUAACGUAGACCCGUAAUCCGGGUUGCGGACAGUGUCUGGUGGGUAGUUUGACUGGGGCGGUCUCCUCCCAAAGAGUAACGGAGGAGCACGAAGGUUAGCUAAUCCUGGUCGGACAUCAGGAGGUUAGUGCAAUGGCAUAAGCUAGCUUGACUGCGAGAGUGACGGCUCGAGCAGGUGCGAAAGCAGGUCAUAGUGAUCCGGUGGUUCUGAAUGGAAGGGCCAUCGCUCAACGGAUAAAAGGUACUCCGGGGAUAACAGGCUGAUACCGCCCAAGAGUUCAUAUCGACGGCGGUGUUUGGCACCUCGAUGUCGGCUCAUCACAUCCUGGGGCUGAAGUAGGUCCCAAGGGUAUGGCUGUUCGCCAUUUAAAGUGGUACGCGAGCUGGGUUUAGAACGUCGUGAGACAGUUCGGUCCCUAUCUGCCGUGGGCGCUGGAGAAUUGAGGGGGGCUGCUCCUAGUACGAGAGGACCGGAGUGGACGCAUCACUGGUGUUCGGGUUGUCAUGCCAAUGGCACUGCCCGGUAGCUAAAUGCGGAAGAGAUAAGUGCUGAAAGCAUCUAAGCACGAAACUUGCCCCGAGAUGAGUUCUCCCUGAGACUUUAAGUCUCCUGAAGGAACGUUGAAGACUACGACGUUGAUAGGUCGGGUGUGUAAGCGCAGCGAUGCGUUGAGCUAACCGAUACUAAUGAACCGUGAGGCUUAACCUU
rnacentral:rRNA from 1 species